rnacentral:rRNA from 1 species
UACAGAGGAUGCAAGCGUUAUCCGGAAUGAUUGGGCGUAAAGCGUCUGUAGGUGGCUUUUUAAGUCCGCCGUCAAAUCCCAGGGCUCAACUCUGGACAGGCGGUGGAAACUACCAAGCUGGAGUACGGUAGGGGCAGAGGGAAUUUCCGGUGGAGCGGUGAAAUGCGUAGAGAUGUGGAGGAACACCGAUGGCGAAGGCAGCCCCCUGGGCCAAUACUGACGCUCAAGCACGAAAGCGUGGGGAGCAA